rnacentral:rRNA from 1 species
GAUCCCGCCUUCGGGCGGGGGAUUAGUGGCGAACGGGUGAGUAACACGUGGGUAACCUGCCCCCGACUCCGGGAUAAGCCUGGGAAACCGGGUCUAAUACCGGAUACGACCUCCUGCCGCAUGGCGGGGGGUGGAAAGAUUUCUCGGUCGGGGAUGGACUCGCGGCCUAUCAGCUGGUUGGCGGGGUAACGGCCCACCAAGGCGACGACGGGUAGCCGGCCUGAGAGGGUGGACGGCCACACUGGGACUGAGACACGGCCCAGACUCCUACGGGAGGCAGCAGUGGGGAAUAUUGCACAAUGGGCGCAAGCCUGAUGCAGCGACGCCGCGUGAGGGAUGACGGCCUUCGGGUUGUAAACCUCUUUCGGCAGGGAAGAAGCGCAAGUGACGGUACCUGCGGAAGAAGCGCCGGCUAACUACGUGCCAGCAGCCGCGGUAAUACGUAGGGCGCAAGCGUUGUCCGGAAUUAUUGGGCGUAAAGAGCUCGUAGGCGGUUUGCCGCGUCUGCCGUGAAAGCCCGGGGCUCAACCCCGGGUCUGCGGUGGGUACGGGCAGACUGGAGUGCAGUAGGGGAGACCGGAAUUCCUGGUGUAGCGGUGAAAUGCGCAGAUAUCAGGAGGAACACCGAUGGCGAAGGCAGGUCUCUGGGCUGUAACUGACGCUGAGGAGCGAAAGCAUGGGGAGCGAACAGGAUUAGAUACCCUGGUAGUCCAUGCCGUAAACGUUGGGCACUAGGUGUGGGGGGCA